GACGAACGCUGGCGGCGUGCUUAACACAUGCAAGUCGAACGGAAAGGCCCUGCUUUUGUGGGGUGCUCGAGUGGCGAACGGGUGAGUAACACGUGAGUAACCUGCCCUUGACUUUGGGAUAACUUCAGGAAACUGGGGCUCAUACCGGAUAGGAGCUCCUGCUGCAUGGUGGGGGUUGGAAAGUUUCGGCGUUGGGGGAUGGACUCGCGGCUUAUCAGCUUGUUUGUGGGGUAGUGGCUUACAAAGGCUUUGACGGGUAGCCGGCCUGAGAGGGUGACCGGCGACAUUGGGACUGCGAGACGGCCCAGACGCCUACGGGAGGCAGCAGUGGGGAAUAUUGCACAAUGGGCGGAAGUCUGAUGCAGCAACGCCGCGUGCGGGAUGACGGCCUUCGGGUUGUAAACCGAUUUCGCAGGUGACGAAGCGUGAGUGACGGUAAUGGGUAAAGAAGCACCGGCUAACUACGUG
rnacentral:rRNA from 1 species